GUGCCAGCCGCCGCGGUAAUACGUAGGGGGCGAGCGUUGUCCGGAUUCAUUGGGCGUAAAGCGCGCGCAGGCGGCCGCGAGAGCCCGGCGUGAAAGCCCCCGGCUCAACCGGGGGAGGCCGUCGGGGACCUCGUGGCUGGAGGCCGGUAGGGGCGAGCGGAAUUCCCGGUGUAGUGGUGGAAUGCGUAGAGAUCGGGAGGAACACCGGUGGCGAAGGCGGCUCGCUGGGCCGGUCCUGACGCUCAGGCGCGAAAGCGUGGGGAGCGAUCCGGAUUAGAAACCCUCGUAGUCC
rnacentral:rRNA from 1 species